rnacentral:rRNA from 1 species
UACGUAGGGUGCGAGCGUUGUCCGGAAUUACUGGGCGUAAAGAGCUCGUAGGCGGUUUGUCGCGUCUGCUGUGAAAACCCGAGGCUCAACCUCGGGCCUGCAGUGGAUACGGGCAGACUAGAGGUAGGUAGGGGAGAAUGGAAUUCCUGGUGUAGCGGUGAAAUGCGCAGAUAUCAGGAGGAACACCGGUGGCGAAGGCGGUUCUCUGGGCCUUACCUGACACUGAGGAGCGAAAGCGUGGGGAGCGAACAGG